rnacentral:rRNA from 1 species
AUUGAACGCUGGCGGCAUGCCUUACACAUGCAAGUCGAACGGCAGCACGGGUGCUUGCACCUGGUGGCGAGUGGCGAGCGGGUGAGUAAUACAUCGGAACGUACCUUAUCGUGGGGGAUAACGCAGCGAAAGCUGUGCUAAUACCGCAUACGCCCUGAGGGGGAAAGCGGGGGAUCGAAAGACCUCGCGCGAUUAGAGCGGCCGAUGCCUGAUUAGCUUGUUGGUGGGGUAAAAGCCCACAAAGGCGACGAUCAGUAGCUGGUCUGAGAGGACGAUCAGCCACACUGGGACUGAGACACGGCCCAGACUCCUACGGGAGGCAGCAGUGGGGAAUUUUGGACAAUGGGGGCAACCCUGAUCCAGCAAUGCCGCGUGAGUGAAGAAGGCCUUCGGGUUGUAAAGCUCUUUUGUCAGGGAAGAAACACCGGCUCUAACACAGUCCGGGAAUGACGGUACCUGAAGAAUAAGCACCGGCUAACUACGUGCCAGCCGCCGCAGUAA